GUUCUAGUUUAUUUCACCAAAAUACCCCUCUGGGACAAUAUUAUUCAGCGCUCCUGGCCAAGGGGCAGAAAUGGAAAUUGAGCAGCUGAGGGAGCUCGGGGUUUCCUUGCUCUGCCGCCGCCGCACUUCCUUGUCCCUCCCUCAUCCCCUCCGCCGGCGACGGGCAACCCGCCAACCAGGCCUCCACCGCACCAAGCCUUCGCCCUUCUAGUGGGGGCCGGCCGCCUCCUAUCCUCCGCCUUCUAUCGGCGCUGGGUCCGCGUGGCGUGGGGGUCCACCUAUCCGGACUCGGAUCGAUUCCUCCCUGCCGGCUUGAAGAAUGAGGAAGGGAUUACAUCCUCAAAUGCAAUGGAUUUCAUAUGUGACGCAGAGUGGUAGGCUGAUCAAUAUCAUGAUGACCAAGGUGAACCAUACUGGCAAAGUGUACCACAUGAGGGCCAAGCGUCAAAUGGCUCAAAGCCUUGGUCAGAUUGCAAAGUUCAAACGCCGAUACGAGCAGGAAGCUGAGGAAAACAAGGACAAGUAGGGUGGUGUUUGCAUGUAGCUAUAGUCUCAGUAACAUUAUGCAGUUCUGUUGACCACAAGUUUUGGUUAAGGAACUCUGCUCAAGGAUUGUAUUUUCAGUGGCAUUUUUGUCUGUGCUUCUAUUAUUAUGUUGGGUUCUACCCCCAUGUAGUUGUUUCUUUUUUUCUCCAUUAUACUGCCUGUCUUGAUCAAGUCAUGGUACUUGUUCUGCCUUAAAGCCUCAAGAAAGUUGUCGAUGGAUUAAUUUCUUCUCGAAACAAUACUCAAGAUGCAUCUGUUUCUGUAUCAUUUUAAUGCUCGUUUGUGUGUUCCUGGUCAA